rnacentral:rRNA from 1 species
GAAUAUUGGUCAGUGGACGAGAGUCUGAACCAGCCAUGCCGCGUGCAGGAAGACGGCCUUCUGGGUUGUAAACUGCUUUUCUCAGGGAACAAAAAGGCCAUGCGUGGCAAAUUGCGUGUACCUGAGGAAUAAGCACCGGCUAACUCCGUGCCCGCAGCCGCGGUAAUACGGAGGGUGCAAGCGUUGUCCGGAUUUAUUGGGUUUAAAGGGUGCGUAGGCGGAUGUUUAAGUCAGUGGUGAAAGUUUUCGGCUCAACCGGAAAAUUGCCAUUGAUACUGGAUAUCUUGAGUAUAGUUGAGGUAGGCGGAAUUCAUGGUGUAGCGGUGAAAUGCAUAGAUACCAUGAAGAACACCAAUAGCGUAGGCAGCUUACUAAACUAUAACUGACGCUGAGGCACGAAAGCGUGGGGAGCGAACAGG